GCAACAGCGAGGCCACAGGAGAUACCCACCCUUGUGUCCAUGGCAGCAGUUAGAUACACACACACAGAGACAUGUACACACAUCCACAAACAGCUGCAUCCCCAAUAGCUGAUGUAGCACUCACCAAUAGCCACAUACAGCCACACACCCACAGCACCUGCAUCUAGCUAUACUCCCCAUUUGCUUAUGUGGGCUUUCAGAUAAUAGUGGCCAGGAGCCAGAUUGUUGCAUAGCAGACUUGUGGGCAGCUAGCCAAGCAGGUGGAACCAUUGGUUACCAUGACACCAGUUACUAUAGAGAGCACAGAGACAAGAGGGUAAAAGGCAUUGGCACUUGACAAAUACCAUCUUCCCAAACUCAUCUCAACAUCCCAUUGGAUCAGCCCAAGGACUUAAGGAGGUUGCAGGAACCCGAUCACUGGGCUGUUGCCACCACCGCUCAGGAGGUGCAGCAGCAGGAAGCUGGACUCGGGAGCUGGAACUGGAAGCUGACAGAGGAACUCUGAUGUAGAACAAUGCCAAACACCCACUCACCCCUCAUAUAGAAAUGUUUAUACUGAAGAGAUUUUGGUUAUUGGAAUAGCAAUUAAACUUUGUGAUUACAAUUAAAAUGAGGCAUUUAGUAAUUGAUUAAAAUUUGUUUUAAGUUGAAUUCUCACUAUAUUUAUAUAUGUAGAAUAUGAAAAUGUACAAUACCAUAAUAGUCACCUUAUGUUUAUAAAUAAUAAAUCUUUUAAAAAGUAUGUAUCA
rnacentral:lncRNA from 1 species